AGCCGAAACCGGGGCCGCCAUGAGGCGGUCCCGGUCGUCCCGGCGUGUUGGCCGGGGCCUGACGAUGGCAGACACCA
rnacentral:hammerhead_ribozyme from 1 species